rnacentral:misc_RNA from 1 species
GCUGACAAACAUUUGGCGGGCAACUGGGAGCUGUGCACUGAUAAACUCAAUUUUCACCAUGAUGCUGGGAGCAUGAUCCCAUACCACAAAAACCUUACCUUGAAAGGAUAUCGAGCUCUUAUUUUCAGUGGCGAUCAUGAUAUGUGUGUACCAUUCACUGGAAGCGAAGCGUGGGUUCGAUCACUUGGAUACAAGGUCAUCGAUGAAUGGAGGCCGUGGACAUCAAACGAUCAAGUUGCCGGGUACUUACGAGGCUAUGAAAACAAUCUCACUUUUCUUACCAUUAAGGGAUCUGGACAUACUGUACCUGAAUACAAACCACGUGAAGCUUUAGACUUUUACCGGCGAUUUUUAGCUGGAGAAUCAAUAUGAAACAAGGUAGCGUUUCUUGUAAUUGUAUUCUACUACGUUAGAACUUGAUAAAUAAAUCACCA